GAGGAGCUUGCUCUUCUUGGAUGAGUUGCGAACGGGUGAGUAACGCGUAGGUAACCUGCCUUGUAGCGGGGGAUAACUAUUGGAAACGAUAGCUAAUACCGCAUAACAAUGGAUGACACAUGUCAUUUAUUUGAAAGGGGCAAUUGCUCCACUACAAGAUGGACCUGCGUUGUAUUAGCUAGUAGGUGAGGUAACGGCUCACCUAGGCGACGAUACAUAGCCGACCUGAGAGGGUGAUCGGCCACACUGGGACUGAGACACGGCCCAGACUCCUACGGGAGGCAGCAGUAGGGAAUCUUCGGCAAUGGGGGCAACCCUGACCGAGCAACGCCGCGUGAGUGAAGAAGGUUUUCGGAUCGUAAAGCUCUGUUGUAAGUCAAGAACGAGUGUGAGAGUGGAAAGUUCACACUGUGACGGUAGCUUACCAGAAAGGGACGGCUAACUACGUGCCAGCAGCCGCGGUAAUACGUAGGUCCCGAGCGUUGUCCGGAUUUAUUGGGCGUAAAGCGAGCGCAGGCGGUUUGAUAAGUCUGAAGUUAAAGGCUGUGGCUCAACCAUAGUUCGCUUUGGAAACUGUCAAACUUGAGUGCAGAAGGGGAGAGUGGAAUUCCAUGUGUAGCGGUGAAAUGCGUAGAUAUAUGGAGGAACACCGGUGGCGAAA
rnacentral:rRNA from 1 species